GNCUUAGAGUUUGAUCAUGGCUCAGGAUGAACGCUGGCGGCGUGCUUAACACAUGCAAGUCGAACGGACGUAAGGAGCUUGCUCCUUGCGUUAGUGGCGGACGGGUGAGUAACACGUGAGCAAUCUGCCCAUGUCAGGGGGAUAACAGUUAGAAAUGACUGCUAAUACCGCAUAUGACCACAGAGAGGCAUCUCUCAGGGGUGAAAGAUUUUAUCGGACAUGGAUGAGCUCGCGUCCCAUUAGGCAGUUGGCGGGGUAACGGCCCACCAAACCUACGAUGGGUAGCCGGCCUUAGAGGGUGAUCGGCCACAUUGGAACUGAGAUACGGUCCAAACUCCUACGGGAGGCAGCAGUGGGGAAUAUUGGGCAAUGGAGGCAACUCUGACCCAGCAACGCCGCGUGAGUGAUGAAGGUCUUCGGAUUGUAAAACUCUUUAAGUAGGGACGAAGAAAGUGACGGUACCUACAGAAUAAGCCUCGGCUAACUACGUGCCAGCAGCCGCGGUAAUACGUAGGAGGCAAGCGUUAUCCGGAAUGACUGGGCGUAAAGGGUGCGUAGGUGGUUUGGCAAGUUGGUAGCGUAAUCCCGGGGCUUAACUUCGGUGCUACUACCAAAACUGCUGGGCUUGAGUGCAGGAAGGGGUGAAUG
rnacentral:rRNA from 1 species